GUGCUUGCUUCAGCAGCACAAGGAACUUGAGUUGGAAUAAUACAGAGAAGAUGAGUAUGGCCAUUACUAAAGGAUAACAUGCAGGUUAGAGAAGAGUUCCAUAUUUUU